rnacentral:sRNA from 1 species
CAUUCAACAACCAACAAUAAUAAAGAGGCUGACGAGCAGGCAAGCCUUUAAAAUCGCAAUAGGAAUCUAAUGUUUUAUUUUUGUGACCUGAUUUGCUAACUCAACGUAUUUACACAUUUCAUGCACAACUGUACGGAGGAAAAUGCGUAUGCUGCGGCAUGGGAAAAGCGAAGUCAAGGCAAUCCACUGAAAGUGCCAUCAUCAUUCGUUCCAUAUGCAAAAGCCAAAUAACAUUCUCGCAAUUCCGCCUUGUCCCCUAUUAUUUCUGCCUCGGUUUCGCCUUUGGUCCUUGCUGGCCAUUGUUAAAGGCUUGUGGUCGCCUCCUGCUGUUGCAACUUCAGUUGAUGCUGCCGCUGUCAAGCUGCCAGGACGUGGGACUUAAGAAGCCGCAGGAUAUGGACCAGUCCUCCAA